UACGGAAGGCAGCAGUGGGGAAUAUUGCACAAUGGGCGCAAGCCUGAUGCAGCCAUGCCGCGUGUAUGAAAAGGCCUUCGGGUUGUAAAGUACUUUCAGUCGUGAGGAAGGUGUUAAGGUUAAUAACCUUAGCAAUUGACGUUAGCGACAGAAGAAGCACCGGCUAACUCCGUGCCAGCAGCCGCGGUAAUACGGAGGGUGCGAGCGUUAAUCGGAAUUACUGGGCGUAAAGGGCACGCAGGCGGUUAAUUAAGUUGGAUGUGAAAUCCCCGGGCUUAACCUGGGAAUGGCAUUCAAGACUGGUUAGCUAGAGUCUUGUAGAGGGGGUAGAAUUCCAUGUGUAGCGGUGAAAUGCGUAGAGAUGUGGAGGAAUCCGGUGGCGAAGGCGGCCCCUGGACAAAGGCUGACGCUCAUGUGCGAAAGCGUGGGGAGCAAACAGGGAUUAGAUACC
rnacentral:rRNA from 1 species